AUAUUGCACAAUGGGGGAAACCCUGAUGCAGCGUCGUCGCGUGAGGGAAGACGGUUUUCGGAUUGUAAACCCCUGGCUUUGGGGACGAAAAAAAUGCCGGUACCCAAGGAGGAAGCUCCGGCUAACUACGUCCCACCAGCCGCGGUAAUACGUAGGGAGCAAGCGUUGUCCGGAAUUACUGGGUGUAAAGGGAGCGUAGGCGGGAGACCAAGUCCAAUGUGAAAUCUAUCGGCUCAACCGGUAGCUGCGUUGGAAACUGGUUUUCUUGAGUGAAGUAGAGGCAGGCGGAAUUCCUAGUGUAGCGGUGAAAUGCGUAGAUAUUAGGAGGAACACCAGUGGCGAAGGCGGCCUGCUGGGCUUUUACUGACGCUGAGGCUCGAAAGCAUGGGUAGCAAACA
rnacentral:rRNA from 1 species